CCCGGUUCGGAGAACCACGACCUUAUCCUUCGAGGGUUAACCCUGCCGGACCCAUGACCUUACCACGGGAAGGAAAGCUACAACCCGACAGGUCGGGGAGGAAAGCCACGGCUCCAGCGGCAGACGAGCGAACAACGCGCCGUCGACCAAGAUCCGCCGCCGCCGCCUCCUCCGCCUCCGAGCUCCUUCCGCCGAUGGCAGAAGCGAGGUGUUCAUGAUCCAAUGUCCUCCCCUCCAGCGACGGCUACUAACCGCGGCCGUCACCGUCCUCCUUCCCCGGAUCUCCCCUCCACCUCGAAGCUUCGACCCCCUCUAGCGACCAUGACGGCGACAGUUCUUUGGUCAUUUUCUACCUCCUCCGGUCAAGGAAGUGAGCACCGCCUUGUUCUCUCAAAUCAUUCCCACCAUUGCCAAUCACCGGUUUCCUAAAGCUAACCAAUGAAAAUGUUCAAAGAAGUUGAUGGUGGAAGUUUCAGUAGAGUGAUUAUUCCAGUGACAAUGCAUUUCAGCAUGGAUCAGUCACAUAUGCACAUCUUUUUAAUGGAACUAAAUGUGUCGUUCCCCUCCUUGGAGGCGUCGGUAUGGACUGAUCCUCUCACUUCCCCUGCCCCUAGGUCUCCCGGGCGAAAGCCCUAACUUUGUUGGGCGGCGGCGGUGCUCUCGACGCUGUUCCCUUCUUGAAGGCUCCGCUUUGUGAGCCUUUGUGGUCUGCUGGCGUUUGUGGGUGGUGGGCGGCAGCGACGGUGUGGCCCUCUUGUCCUAACGGUGUGGCCCUCUUGUCCUAGCGACGGUGCAGCCUUUGUGGUCUGCUGGCGUUUGUGAGCCUUCCGUCUUGGAUGUGUGCAGCAGCGAUGUUCUGCUCAAGGAGAGCCUCCGGCGUCUUGUUGGGGAUGCACUGACCUUCUCUAUGUGGCCAUCUUCCGGCGGCAUCCGUCUCAUCUUGCGACGGUGCGGCGCCUUCGAUCCAGGCAAGCAGGUAGUGGCCUUCUUCGAAGAUGGUGUACCUGAUGUGUCGUGUCGAGGCCCGUAGGUGCAUGGUGACAGCAUAUGCCCCGCUGGUGUCGGCCCCUCUCUCCUCCGAGCCAGUGUGAUAUUGUUCUUGGUGCAGCAUUCUUGGAGAAGGUCCUUGGUGUCUUCGGCUUCGUUCUCUUUUGAUCAUCUUCAGUUUCCGUAGCGUGUGAGGAGUAGUUUGGUGUUGUCCAUCGUUUAUGUAUCUUACCGCCGUGUUGUUCUUUCUUUUGCAUGAGGGCGUUUGCUUGUAAUCUGCCAGUUGAUGGCUUUGUUAAUUCAAAAUCGGGCUAGGCUCGAGCCCCAUCUCAGGCUCGGCUGAUGCCUUUUGUCUAAAAAAUGUUAAACAACAAUUAGCACACCAGAAUUUAUCCUCAGUGUUAUGUUAUUUA